CUCCCGCUCCAAGCCGGCUUUGGCCGCCCGGCAGCAACCGCAGCGGCGAGCCUGGGCGGCCGCUGUGGCAACGCAGUGCCCACACCGGGCGCCGACCCAGCAGCACCGAGCGGGGAGAGAAAGAUGCCCUGGACAUCAUUCCGAACAGCACAAUUCAAGGCUCUUGGGUAACCCCCUCCCACACCAACUCUGAGUUUGUUUAUGGCUUGUUUUGGACAAUAAGACAUUAGCAAAUGAGAUAUAAGUACAGGCUUGAGAAGUACAUGGGCACUGGGGCUUGCUUGCUGGCUGCUCUGUGGAACCUGAGACUACCACGUGAAGAAGAAGUUCGAAGUGCUAGAGGUUGAGAGAACAUGUGCAGCAAAGAUGAAGCAUCCCAGCUGAGAUUCCCCUAGAUCAAUCAGCUUGCCAACUGCCGCAAAAGCGAAUAAAGCCUUCCAAGAGCAUCCAGCUAUAAGGUUGUUUCUUUGGACUAUAUGCCCAGAGGUGAAUUGAAUGAAUCAAAAGCAUUUUAAUCUGUGACUUCAAUCCCUAUAUAGAGAGGGAGCUUGUCAAGUCUGCACAUGAUACACAGCACAGAAGAUACCAGACAACUGAUUAAUAGAUGCAG
rnacentral:lncRNA from 10 species